rnacentral:lncRNA from 1 species
GCAAAACGCAGCUUAACAUGUGACAGGUGAAAGCUGCUCCUUUAGAAGGAUGCUGCCCCUAACUUUUAGGUCCCCAAAUUAUGUUUUCUUAAUGUCCUGAAGAAAAGAUGGACAUGAAUUGUUCAUAUUAUAACUGUAAUGGGGAUUAUUUAAAAAUGUAAAUGUCUUCUUUAACACUGCUGAGCCCAAAAUAUAAAAGAUUCGGCCAGUGCAAGAAAGUGAAACUGGCUGGGAGCAAAAGUGAAACCAACAGGUGACUUUCACUCCCCAGGCUGAGUGAAAUGCAGAAAAGUAAAUCCUAAACAGGGAAAGUGGCACAGCCCCUGUUUUGGACAGAAGGACGCUGUGCAAGGAAAAUGAACAUCAGUUCCCAGAUGCUUUUGCAGUAUCCUGUCCCUCUAUUGCCUGGACUUCUGGAAGACAGGAGAGUGAGAAUCAGCGGUGAUUGUUUUCCUACCGGCGCAGUUUGAGAACUACUUUGACAGCCAAUAGAACAGGAACUACCUUGCAGUGUUGCCACCGCAAGUGCAUGCUCUUUCUGACAGUGUAUGAUUGCGCUGUGUCCGCAGCGGGGAAUGAUGCCAGAAUUGCCGUCUAAUCAUCCAUAUUCUUUUCUCAUACUGUAACCAAGUUGUUUUCCAAAAACGUUCAUGCAAAAAUGCAAAGAUUCUCCACGUAGAAUAAAGUAGGCCUAUAGGGCCUAAGGAAGGGCUGG